AGUGAACGCUGGCGGUAGGCCUAACACAUGCAAGUCGAACGGCAGCACAGUAAGAGCUUGCUCUUACGGGUGGCGAGUGGCGGACGGGUGAGGAAUACAUCGGAAUCUACUUUUUCGUGGGGGAUAACGUAGGGAAACUUACGCUAAUACCGCAUACGACCUACGGGUGAAAGCAGGGGAUCUUCGGACCUUGCGCGAUCUAAUGAGCCGUUGUCGGAUUAGCUAGUUGGCGGGGUAAAGGCCCACCAAGGCGACGAUCCGUAGCUGGUCUGCGAGGAUGAUCAGCCACACUGGAACUGAGACACGGUCCAGACUCCUACGGGAGGCAGCAGUGGGGAAUAUUGGACAAUGGGCGAAAGCCUGAUCCAGCCAUACCGCGUGGGUGAAGAAGGCCUUCGGGUUGUAAAGCCCUUUUGUUGGGAAAGAAAAGCAGCAGGUUAAUACCCCGCUGUUCUGACGGUACCCAAAGAAUAAGCACCGGCUAACUUCGUG
rnacentral:rRNA from 1 species